CUUCUCGUCCACCUGCCACGUGUCACUUCAACUAUAAUAAAAAAAAGACCUGAUCUAAAUUUUCAUUUAUAGUUGAAGUACCAAGAUUUUGUGUUUUUUUAUACGAAGAACAUGAGCCGCGACCGUUUGCAACAAAAUUCUUCCGUUAAUACGGUAAGCCAGUCAAUAGAGGAGAAGAGCCAAAGGCUGACCCAGAAAGUGAAAGCUUCUGAUUACCCAGUGGAAUUGUUGCAUAUAAAGGACCCGUCUCUCCUCUUAACGUUUCAGUGUGCCCGCCCAAUACACCUGAGGUUUCCUUCCAGCAAUGGCAGCUCAGACUGGAGCAGCAGUCCUCCUCGCCAGCCUCCUCCUUGCUCUUGCAGCCAUCGCCAGCAGCAACACUGAAGGCGACAUACUUUACGCGCAAAGGCAGGCGUGGAAUGACCCGAACGGUGUGCUGCAGAGCUGGGAUCCGACCCUUGCCAAUCCCUGCUAUUGGUUUCAUGUCAGCUGCAACAACGAGAACUCCGUCGCCCGAGUGUAUAUAUGCCACCCAUGUUUUUCUUCACUCCUCCUUGUUCUGAACUGAAGGCCGAAACUGAAUUGAUCAUGGUUCUUAUCGACAUUCAGAACCUUGUGACUUGGACAAAAGUUCCACUACCUGAGUUCUUCCUAACUGUGCGGGGAUUUGGGGAAUGCAGGCAUCUCAGGCCCCCUCAUUCCUGAACUGGGCCAACUGAAGAGCCUUCGAUACCUGGAGCUGUAUGAGAACAAAAUGAGUGGACCAAUACCGGCGACGCUGGGAAACCUGAGGAGACUGAUCAGCCUUGAUCUUUACAGCAACCAUCUCACAGGCACGAUACCGGCCUCGCUCGGGAACAUAGGGUCGCUGCGUUUCCUGUAUGAGUCCUGCUGCAGCAAGCUCCUUUUCUGAUUACGAGAUGCUACGACACCUAUCGUCUCCAAGUGCUGAAAACAAUCUGUUGGUGUCUCUCUGCAGAAGGAUCCAUCGGAACAAGCUUGCAGGAGGUAUACCGGCAUCGUUGGGUCGUCUGACGAAGCUUCUCAGGUUGGAGCUUCAGGAGAACAUGCUGACCGGCACGGUGCCGCCGGAGGUCCUCUCUCUUGUUCUUGUCGGAGAAUUGACUAAGCUAAAUGUUGCGGAAAACAAUCUCACCGGCACUGUCAGAUCAUCUAAACAAAGAGUGACUACGGUCAUCCAAGACACGCUCAACUGAAGACUAGAAGCUGAGCAGCAUGGCAAACUGAACUUUCGUAAGAAUAAAUUGAAUGGUUUUCCGUUCUGAAACUGCCGACAGUAGCUGCAUGCAGCCUGAGCUUUUGUAGACCUCUGUUCCGUUAAGAGUCAGGGCUUACCUCUCCUUCAAGAAACAAUAGAAGAAAUACAUAGUUGAGUCCAUUGUUAUUAGCAGGAAAUUCAAAAUAAUGAUUCAUCCUUGUGGUUUAUCUUAGUCACAUCCAUACUUCUACGUCCGUUUGAGCGGCAACUAAUUCCGGACGGAGGGAGUAGCACAUGGUG